rnacentral:sRNA from 1 species
AGACAUAAGGGGUGAAGCUUGGCUGAUGAUUCAACAUUAGAAGACUGCAAUGAACAAGAGGCCACUUAAGAAAUGCCAUAGAACAAUCAACGACAGAAAAAUAUGGACUGAAGGAAAUUAUUCUGGGAGCUGAUGUGUGAAAGUAGUUAGUUUUGCCUCAUGUCUGUAGCCUUUCUUUGUAAGAUGCACUAAAGUAGCUGGGUAGUCUGUAUAUAGUUAAGAGUUUGCAGGGACAGUAGUCAUAGAUGCUACAAAUUUGAACCCCCUUUUGGUUCAAAUAGCAAAGAAACUCAUAUCUGUACAAUAUAUUUCUUUUAUCACCUGGCGUGUUGGAUGUUAUGAAAUCUGCAAAGUGAUUGAUUUGUU